UACGUAGGGUGCGAGCGUUGUCCGGAAUUAUUGGGCGUAAAGAGCUCGUAGGCGGUUUGUUGCGUCGGCCGUGAAAACUUGGGGCUUAACCCCGAGCCUGCGGUCGAUACGGGCAGACUUGAGUUCGGCAGGGGAGACUGGAAUUCCUGGUGUAGCGGUGAAAUGCGCAGAUAUCAGGAGGAACACCGAUGGCGAAGGCAGGUCUCUGGGCCACUACUGACGCUGAGAAGCGAAAGCAUGGGGAGCGAACAGG
rnacentral:rRNA from 1 species